rnacentral:rRNA from 1 species
CCUACGGGUGGCAGCAGUGAGGAAUAUUGGUCAAUGGCCGGAAAGCUGAACCAGCCAUGCCGCGUGAAGGUCAGUGCCCUAUGGGCGUUAAACUUCUUUUGUGCGGGAGCAAUAAUGGUCACGUGUGGCCAGACGAGAGUACCGUACGAAUAAGCAUCGGCUAACUCAGUGCCAGCAGCCGCGGUAAUACGGGGGAGGCAAGCGUUAUCCGGAUUUAUUGGGGUUAAAGGGUGCGUAGGCUGUGAGGGAAGUCAGCGGUGAAAUGCCCCCGCUCAACGGGGUGAAGUGCGAUUGAAACUGCCUUGCUGGAAUGCGGAUGCCGUGGGAGGAAUGUGUGGUGUAGCGGUGAAAUGCAUAGAUAUCACACAGAACACCGAUUGCGAAGGCAUCUCACGAAUCCGCGAUUGACGCUGAUGCACGAAAGCGUGGGUAUCAAACAGGAUUAGAUACCCCAGUAGU